rnacentral:lncRNA from 1 species
UAUAUAUAUUGCCAAAUUGCAAAUCCAUAACUCUCACCCACAUGAAUCCAGCACCUCAAAUUGAACCCAAAGAUCGAACUGGGCAGAACUUGUCGUUGGUGGGUAGCACCGUCGCUUUCGUCGUCGAUUGGAUAGCGUCGUAGUCGCUUAGCUCGUUGUCGAAGGAAGAAACACUACCACUUAGCUCAUUGUUAUACCGGGUUGCUCACUAAGCUCAUCGUCGCCGUUGAUGAUGAGAUUGUUGACACUGAUGAAGAGGAAGAAUAAUAAAAUGCUUGUGAUGAUGAUGAUGAUGAGAAGAGAGAAAUAUUAUCUCAUUUGAAAAAUCUUAUUUAGUGAAUGUUUUGAAUACUCUAAUUUAGUAUUAUAUUAUUUUUUAUAUCAUCAUUUUUGAAAAGGGAGAAUUGUUAUAAUUACUAUUAUUUUUAUAUGAAAAAAAGUUUGAUUAAAAUAAUAUACCAACUUAUUUUUAUUAGAAGAAUUUUCUAAGAGAUGAAUUAUUUUUUCACUUUUUU